ACUCACACUCGAGCUUUUGGGGGAUGCCUCACAUGUAACCAUAACAUAUGAACACACACAGUGUAAUGUCUGAGAUGAGCUUCCCAUAAAUAUCUCGCUGACAAGGAAGCCAUGUGAGAGACGUUGACAGAACAGCAAACCCAGAGGAUAGGUGGAAACUGCUGUGACUACAAUCCAGCCCACACACAGAUCCAGGAGCAGAAUGAAAUUUUUCUGGCUUUAUCCAAAUUGGGGCUUGUGCAUAUGUUAUGCAAAAACAGGGACAAGAGCUAAGAAACCAGGCUAAAAAAUUAAAAUGAAAAUUAAAAACAGGAAAAUCUGCAGCUACACAAACGGCGAGACCAUUGCCGCAGCCUGAGUCCAGGACAUGCACAGAUCUGCACACUCAGUGAGAAAGCCCGCGUCGUCCCAGGGCCUGGGGGGUGCCAGAGGAUGUCAGUGGAGGUGAUGGCAAAGCUCUGACAGUGCCUUGUGCUGCACCAGCUCCUUCAAGACACAGGCUACUGCAGCUAAAAGAUAACCUGAGCAACCCUGGAGCUGCCAAGGACACGGGGUUUAAAUAUGGGCCGCAUGGCCCUUCACCAGUAGCUGAGGACCAGCAGCUACGGACCAGCUCGCACAGGCUCUCCCAGAAGGUUACAGGUGGCGGAACCCAUCAGGGGCACUCUCCUCGCCUGGACCACAGGGCCUGACCAGCAGC
rnacentral:lncRNA from 1 species